rnacentral:rRNA from 1 species
UACGUAGGGUGCAAGCGUUAAUCGGAAUUACUGGGCGUAAAGCGUGCGCAGGCGGUCCGUUAAGACAGAUGUGAAAUCCCCGGGCUUAACCUGGGAACUGCAUUUGUGACUGGCGGACUCGAGUAUGGCAGAGGGGGGGUAGAAUUCCACGUGUAGCAGUGAAAUGCGUAGAGAUGUGGAGGAAUACCGAUGGCGAAGGCAGCCCCCUGGGCCAAUACUGACGCUCAUGCA